UACGGAGGAGGCAAGCGUUAUCCGGAAUUAUUGGGCGUAAAGCGUCCGUAGGUGGCUAGUCAAGUCUGCCGGUCAAAGACUGGGGACUUAACCCUGGAAAGGCCGUGGAAACUGACGAGCUAGAGUGCAGUAGGGGUAGAAGGAAUUCCCGGUGUAGCGGUGAAAUGCGUAGAGGCUCGGGAAGAACGAUCGGUGGCGAAGGCAGCCCCUGGGAUAACACUGACGCUCAUGCACGAAAGGCGUGGGGAGCAAACGAGG
rnacentral:rRNA from 1 species